GUAACUAGGGUGAAUUUUCACCUAUCAAACACUGUCAAAGAAACAGUUAGUCUGCAUUGUUUCUGUUACCGUGAAGUACAGCAUGUACCGCUCUGCCAAGGGUCUCAUCACUCUGACACUAUUUGACAUGCUGGUUCUUGACUCGAGAAACAUUUGGACUAACAUUGGACAUAUGAAAAUGUAACACUGGUGUUUCUCAAUUCAGGGAGAAAUUAGACACAUUUGACAGUAUGUCAUCAAACUUAUAUCUUCUCUAUCCAUUAUUCUGUUCUUAAACCAUAAAUGAAUCCCUUCUCAGAAUAAGUGGGAAUACAUACAUGCAUGUCACUGUGAAACUUAAAUUGUAUAUUUAAUCCAAGAUAUUUGAUUCCAGAAGCGUAAUGCUAUUAAAUACCACGCCUUUACUGUCAUGUGGAUCAUUCUACAAUAGCUCCUGGGGGGGGGGCUUCUUUGUCCAGAUUCACAAGGCAGUAAAAGAUCACUCAACUCAUUGGCCCUGAGUCAUGCUGAAGGGCUGGUGGUUGGUCACUUUCUGUGUCAAUCAAAAGUCCCUUUCCUCUGAAAGCUGUGACGCAACAUUGACCACACAGCAUAUACGCAGUGCUGAAAGAAACCCGCCAUGCGUUGACUUAACUAAGAACUUCGAUCCAGAAAUCUUACAAGCCAUAGCCUGACAUUUCAAAAAUGAAAAACAUGCGGCUAGAUGACAGUAAUAGAGAAUGCUGAGUAUUCUAGGGAAAAAAUAGUCUGACAAUCAGCUGUUUGCAGACGUGACGACAAUGUCCUCUGUGCAAAGGUCCAGGGCAUGUCCGGUUACACACACGCGUCCACCUCUGCCUUAGGGACCACGCCUGUCUUCCUGAGACCCUUCCUGCUUUUGUUUCACUGUACAACAAAGAAUGUGUAAUUCUGUCUUCAAGCGUGCUCUUAUCUUCUACACACAGAGACACACACAUUACUGCAUCUCUCUUCAGCUGUUGUACUGUGUUUUCGAGCUGUGAACAUAAAACAGCCUCAUUUAGAGUCAAGUUAGUUCGUUAAGGCGAAUUCUUCAGAGCUAUCGGGGCAGCGGAAACAGAAAGAGUUCAACACCCUCUGAACCAAGUGUGAACCAGAAAAAAAAAAAAGAACUUCCCCUCUGCAACAGAUCAAAGACGAGCUUGCCAAAGUGCUUGGAGUUUGAGUUGAGGUGGAGGGGAAUCUCACCGUGCCGUACCCUCCCAGGUUUCCACCGUGGUGGUGAGUGAUUGGAGUUGAAGUGCAGAGCAAAGACAAGAGGAAACGUGAGAGUGUCUCCGCAGGUGCUGUGAUUGAAAAGGUCUCCUGAGGAGCCGGCACUGAUUACAGAAAGAAAGAAAGAAAGAAAGAAAGAAAAAUGAAAAUUAAAUGAAAGUCAAGUCAAGUCAAAUAUGGGGGAAAAAAACAAGAACACAGAGACACAAUGGACUCUAAUUUGCCUUGGAUAUUACCAACACAGCACUGCACAGGCGUACACUCUGUGCGUACGCGGCAGACUCUGAGGCAGGUGCAAUGCACAAGCCAUAAUGAAAAAUGCAUGGUGCCUCACAACCGUCACAUCCGUCAAUGGGCACCCUAGCCUAAUGUGCUGGAAUGGACUACACAAUGAGGAAUAAUUAGGGUUGGACUCAAGCUCAAUGGAGACCUGAGGUGUGUGUUCUCCAGCGGGUGUGUGUUCUCCAGCGGGUGUGUGUUCUCAUGGGUCAUGCCAGGAUGUCCUCUUCAUUUAUGUCUUUUAUCAUUCCUAAUUUAAAAAAUGAACCUUUGGCAAGGCAUUAGUAGGAUUUGAGCAAUGUGCUACCUGUAAGAUGGUCAAAAUUGAAGCGGCUUUGUGUAAAGCAACAUUACAACAUGUGUUAAUGUUAGUCACAGAAAUUCUAUAAGACCAUGAUAUGUGGGCCAACUGAACGUUUUAGACAUUUUAAAUAUGAAAGUAUAAAAGCUUGUUGCUCCUUAUCUGCUAUUAUGUGUAGGGCGAGGAAAGCAAUGGUGGAAAUAAAUCUUGGUCUUCUUACUGCCGUCAUAUAAGAAAUGGCAGUAUCAUUAAUACA